rnacentral:rRNA from 1 species
AACAAAUCCUCAACGAUGGAUAUCUAGGUUCCUGGAACGAUGAAGAACGCAGCGAAGUGCGAUAAGCAAUGCGAAUUGCAGAACCGUGAGUCAUCAGAUUUUUGAACGCAACUGGCACCCGAGGGUCCUCCCUUGGGUAUGCUUGCUUCAGUA